GAUGAACGCUAGCGGGAGACCUAACACAUGUAGGCCGAGAGGUAUUUCUUCUUCGGGAGAGAGAGAGCGGCGUACGGGUGCGGAACACGUGUGCAACCUGCCUUUAUCCAGAGGAUAGCCUUUCGAAAGGAAGAUUAAUACUCUAUAGUAUAUUAAUUGGCAUCAAUUGAUAUUGAAAACUCCGGUGGAUAGAGAUGGGCACGCGCAAGAUUAGCUAGUUGGUGAGGUAACGGCUCACCAAGGCAAUGAUCUUUAGGGGGCCUGAGAGGGUGAUCCCCCACACUGGUACUGAGACACGGACCAGACUCCUACGGGAGGCAGCAGUGAGGAAUAUUGGUCAAUGGGUGCAAGCCUGAACCAGCCAUCCCGCGUGAAGGAUUAAGGUCCUAUGGAUUGUAAACUUCUUUUGUAUAGGGAUAAACCUACCCUCGUGAGGGUAGCUGAAGUUACUAUACGAAUAAGCACCGGCUAACUCCGUGCCAGCCGCCGCAGUAA
rnacentral:rRNA from 1 species